AUUGAACGCUGGCGGCAUGCCUUACACAUGCAAGUCGAACGGUAACGCGGGGCAACCUGGCGACGAGUGGCGAACGGGUGAGUAAUGUAUCGGAACGUGCCCAGUUGUGGGGGAUAACUGCUCGAAAGAGCAGCUAAUACCGCAUACGACCUGAGGGUGAAAGCGGGGGAUCGCAAGACCUCGCGCAAUUGGAGCGGCCGAUAUCAGAUGAGGUAGUUGGUGAGGUAAAGGCUCACCAAGCCGACGAUCUGUAGCUGGUCUGAGAGGACGACCAGCCACACUGGGACUGAGACACGGCCCAGACUCCUACGGGAGGCAGCAGUGGGGAAUUUUGGACAAUGGACGCAAGUCUGAUCCAGCCAUGCCGCGUGCGGGAAGAAGGCCUUCGGGUUGUAAACCGCUUUUGUCAGGGAAGAAACGCUCUGGGUUAAUACCUCGGGGUAAUGACAGUACCUGAAGAAUAAGCACCGGCUAACUACGUGCCAGCCGCCGCCGUAAAAC
rnacentral:rRNA from 1 species